GCUGGGUGUGGUGGCGCCCACCUGCAGUCCUGCAGUCCUGGCUACACAGCAGGAUGAAGUGGGAAAGUGGCUUGAGCCCAGGAGUCCUGGGCUGUAGUCCACUGUGCUGAUUGGAUAUCCAUACUAAGCUCAGCAUCAAUAUGGUAAACUCCGGAAAGGAGGGACUACCAAGCUGCCAAAGGAGGGGUAAACCAGCCCAGAUCAGAAGUGGAGUGAGACAAAAAUCCCAUGCUGAUCAGUAGUGGGAGCGUGCAUGUGACCAGCCUAGCCACUCACUCCAGCCUGGGCAACAUAGCAAAACUUCAUCUCU
rnacentral:SRP_RNA from 1 species